AUUGAACGCUGGCGGCAUGCCUUACACAUGCAAGUCGAACGGCAGCACGGGAGCAAUCCUGGUGGCGAGUGGCGAACGGGUGAGUAAUAUAUCGGAACGUGCCCAGUCGCGGGGGAUAACGCAGCGAAAGCUGUGCUAAUACCGCAUACGAUCUACGGAUGAAAGCGGGGGAUCGCAAGACCUCGCGCGAUUGGAGCGGCCGAUAUCAGAUUAGCUAGUUGGUGGGGUAAAGGCCCACCAAGGCGACGAUCUGUAGCUGGUCUGAGAGGACGACCAGCUACACUGGAACUGAGACACGGUCCAGACUCCUACGGGAGGCAGCAGUGGGGAAUUUUGGACAAUGGGCGCAGCCUGAUCCAGCAAUGCCGCGUGCAGGAUGAAGGCCUUCGGGUUGUAAACUGCUUUUGUAUGGAACGAAGCGGCCCUUUCUAAUACAGGGGGCUAAUGACGGUACCGUAAGAAUAAGCACCGGCUAACUACGUGCCAGCAGCCGCCGUAACAC
rnacentral:rRNA from 1 species